UCAGAAUCCACUCAACAUUAAAGAGCGCGGAAAUUUAAAUCUGCAGUUGUUAUAACAACAGCGCACGCUUAUAUAAACAGAACGUUAUUGUCCGUUGAUGCGGUGUCAUUAAUCAUUCGUGGUGUGAACUUGCCUUAAGACAGAGAGCCACCACGCACCGGAAAACACCUUCCUGAGAUGAUUCAGCUUAGUUUACGAAAGCGUGUUGUCAUUAAGGAACCGUGGAUAUAUGUUCUUCUCAAUACAGAGGGCAGGAAAGGGUUAACCGCGGUUGCGUGCAGACAGAGCGUCCCGCCCUGCGUGAUUACACCGCGUAGCCUCCAGGUGUUCUCCAGACAGAUAAUGAGGAAGUUCUCGGAUCUCCAAAAUACAGCCGAUCGGGAGCUGGAUACGUACCAGCGGGAGGCUUUGUAGGUGUGGGACACCUGAAGAACUGUGCAGGAGUGGAAAUCCCUGGCAAUGUGAUUUUCAUUUCUGUUUAUCCACCAAAUCACGAUGCCAGGAACCCUCCCCACCACAGCCGCACCUCCCACCCACCCACUUCACAUCCAAAUGCUCUACAGCUGCCAUCCAGCUGUGUCCUGGGGCGGCCCGUACCCUAUGGGGAGAGAGGGAGAGAUCGUCAGCUUUUCCAAACCAGGUUGGCUUUGUUGGGUUCGACCCCUGGUGGUGGUCUAAACCACUCCACUGGAUAUUUUCAACAGUCUCAGAGACGAUACGGUAAAACUGUAGAUUUGAAGAAAAGCUACUCAUAAUUGAUCAGGACGGUUCACCCAAAAAUGUAAAUUAUGUCAUUAAUUACGCAUCCUCUUGUCGUUUCAAGCCUGUAAGACUUUUGUUCAUCUUCCGAACAAAAAUUAAGAUAUUUUUAAUCAAAUCUAAGAGCUUUCCCUGCAACGAUAGCAUCCCAGAAAGGUAGUAAGGACAUCGGUUAAAUAGUCCAUGUGACCUCAGUGGUUCAACCAUAAUUUUAUAAAGCUACAAGAAAACAUCUUGUCUGGGAGAAAGAACGAUUUCAUUCAAUGAUUUCUUCUCUUCUAUUUCAAUCCUCUACGCACAUUCACGACAGUACUAUGACGCAUGCGUGUGCAUUUUUCUGCAUGUACACAAGGUGCACCGCAAACGUGUUCUAUGUCAGCAGCAUCACACGAACGAGUCACAGAUGGCAGCGGUGACUGACUGGAAGAGAGAUAUCAUUGAAUAAAGUUGCUAUUUUUCUAUUCUUUGAACACAAAAAGUAGUGUUGUCAAAAGUACCGACUGCGAUACCAUUCGGUACUGAAAUUUUUAAAACAUCCAUUUCCCACUUUGAGCGAUGUUGAGCAGAUUCUUAAACAGCGAUAAUUGUUUUCAUGUGCUCAACAGAUACAUCUGUGUUUGGCUUCAAUGCUUACUGCAUCAUGCUCUUCACCGAGUGCUGCUCACACGACUGCGAUGCCAUUCGGUGCUGAAAUGUUAAAAAUGGAUUCGUCACCGUCAGCAGAUCCCGAAUAUAUCUGCACAUAAACGGGGAUCCGCUGAUAGACAUGGCUUUCAAACACUCUCUUGUGUUGCUGUGCGAGCACACCAAUCAUCGCUGUUUAAGAAUCAGCUCAGCAGCACUCAAAUCUAAGUGGAAAAUUUAUGUUUUUAAAAUUGCAGUACCGGAUGGUAUCGCGGUCGGUACUUUUGCCAAAAAGUUUUUCACAGCUUCGGAAAAUGAAAGUUGACCACUAACAUCAAAUGGACCAAUGUUUUUUUUUUUUUUUUUUGCCUUUAUUGCAACAGGAAGCAAAGUGGGAUAAAAUGGAAUCAGGAAAGGUCCUAAAGUCAAGAUUUGGAGAUUUGUCCGUGCACUGCCCACAAGGCUAUGUCAGCUUACAUGUAUACUAUUUUAACUUUUAUUUUUUAUUUUUUUUGAAUGAGUAAUUAUGAUUUUUGUUCAGAUGGAACUAUAUCUUUUAAGCUGUUAAAGUUUAAAUAUUAAAAUUUUAUGUUAAGUAAACUUUAUACUUGUUUCACCAAUUGCAGAUGCUAUAUGAGUGUUCAGGAAACAUGUUUGGAAACGGUCAUUAUUUAGCCAUUCAGUUGACUAGUACUAGAGACGAAGAAAUUACAUUUCAGAUAAACAAGAGUGAAGAAAACACCUGGAAAAUUAGUUAUGAGGAAUUAAAUUGAGGAUAAUUUAUUUUAGAAAAUUAUGAGGUUAUAUUAUUUAUAAAAACAUAAUGUACACAAAAAUAAUUUAUAAAAAUAAAAUAUUGUAAUUUUAAUUUUAAUAGUGAAAUAAAAUUAAAAUACAUUUAUUUCAAGUUUG
ensembl:lncRNA